UGGGUGGACAUUGAGAAUGCUGGGUUAUC
rnacentral:piRNA from 1 species